rnacentral:rRNA from 1 species
UACGUAGGGUGCGAGCGUUGUCCGGAAUUAUUGGGCGUAAAGGGCUCGUAGGCGGUUUGUCGCGUUCGGGAGUGAAAUCCACUGGACUUAACUGGUGGCUUGCUUUCGAUACGGGCAGACUGGAGGUAUGCAGGGGAGAACGGAAUUCCUGGGUGUAGCGGUGAAAUGCGCAGAUAUCAGGAGGAACACCGGUGGCGAAGGCGGUUCUCUGGGCAUUACCUGACGUGAGGAGCGAAAGUGUGGGGAGCGAACAGG